GGAUGUAAGGGCAAUCUGACUGCAACAUCUGUCACCCCAGUGAUCGCCAGGGUUGACUGGGCUGAUUUGGCUGGCUAGGCGGGUGUCCCCUUCCUCUCUCACCGCUCCAUGUGCGUCCCUCCCGAAGCUGUGUGCUCGCUUGCUCGGUGGGAGAGGACGGCCUUCCAUAAAUAGAGAGGGACCGGUCUUCACUCCC
rnacentral:snRNA from 1 species